rnacentral:rRNA from 1 species
ACGGGUAGCUGGUCUGAGAGGAUGGUCAGCCACACUGGAACUGAGACACGGUCCAGACACCUACGGGUGGCAGCAGUCGAGAAUCAUUCGCAAUGGGGGAAACCCUGACGAUGCGACGCCGCGUGGAGGAUGAAGGCCUUAGGGUUGUAAACUCCUGUCAAGAGGGAAUAAGCAAGUGAAGGUACCUCUAGAGGAAGGGGUGGCUAAUUCCGUGCCAGCAGCCGCGGUAACACGGAAGCCCCGAGCGUUGUUCGGAUUCAUUGGGCGUAAAGGGUGCGUAGGCGGCGCGGAAAGUCCGGCGUGAAAGGCAGGGGCUCAACCUCUGGACUGCGUUGGAUACUUCCGUGCUUGAGGACUGGAGGGGAGACUGGAAUUCACGGUGUAGCAGUGAAAUGCGUAGAUAUCGUGAGGAAGACCGGUGGCGAAGGCGAGUCUCUGGACAGAUCCUGACGCUGAGGCACGAAGGCUGGGGGAGCGAACAGGAUUAGAUACCCUGGUAGUCCCAGCAGUAAACGAUGUGAGCUUGAUGUGGGGGGAUUCGACCCCUUCCGUGUCGAAGCUAACGCGAUAAGCUCACCGCCUGAGGAGUACGGCCGCAAGGCUAAAACUCAAAGAAAUUGACGGGGACCCGCACAAGCGGUGGAGUAUGUGGCUUAAUUCGAUGCAACGCGAAGAACCUUACCUGGCCUUGACAUGCAUUGUGUCGUCGGUGAAAGCCGGCUAGUCCUGGAAACAGGACGCUUUGCACAGGUGCUGCAUGGCUGUCGUCAGCUCGUGUCGUGAGAUGUUGGGUUAAGUCCCGCAACGAGCGCAACCCUUGUGGUCAGUUACUAACCGGCUUAGCCGGAGGACUCUGGCCAGACUGCCCUGUCAAACGGGGAGGAAGGUGGGGACGACGUCAAGUCAGUAUGGCCCUUAUGGCCAGGGCUGCACACGUACUACAAUGCCCGGUACAAUGUGAACCGAAACCGCGAGGUGGAGGAAUCGCUCUUGAAACCGGGCCCAGUUCGGAUUGGAGUCUGCAACUCGACUCCAUGAAGUCGGAAUCGCUAGUAAUGGCGUAUCAGCAACGACGCCGUGAAUACGUUCCCGGGUCUUGUACACACCGCCCGUCACAUCAUGGAGUCUCCUGUACCCGAAGCACGUGCGCCAACUUUCAGGAG